CAGUAGCCGCGGUAAUACGAAGGGGGCUAGCGUUGCUCGGAAUUACUGGGCGUAAAGGGCGCGUAGGCGGCGCUCCAAGUUAGGCGUGAAAUUCCCGGGCUCAACCUGGGGACUGCGCUUAAGACUGGAGUGCUUGAGGAUGGAAGAGGGUUGUGGAAUUCCCAGUGUAGAGGUGAAAUUCGUAGAUAUUGGGAAGGACACCGGUGGCGAAGGCGGCAACCUGGUCCAUUACUGACGCUGAGGCGCGAUAGCGUGGGGAGCAAACAGGAUUAGAUACCCCAGUAGUCCCUGUCUCUUAUAC
rnacentral:rRNA from 1 species